AACACGUCGACUCGUGACGGUCGUCGCGACUUCACCGUUGAGCGUUUGAUUCCCGUAGAAACACUUCAGAAAAUAGAUUAAACACUAAAACCACACACGCUUGUGUAUUCGAAGAAUUCGGAAAUAAGUCACACAUUGAAUCCGAAGUAUAAAGAGAAGUGCAGCAAACAGAGAGACCUCUUUGGCAGGACAACUGGAUUCCAGUUCCCAAGAUGCCCUGGCUGCUGCUGCUGCUGCUGCUCACUGACAGAGUCUGGACAGCAGGGGAGGACAGAGUCUUCCUCCAGGGGACUGAGCUACUUCCAGCUGGGACACUGAGGUGUGGAGCCCGCCUCAGGGUAAGCCUCUUGUUUUGGAGGUCCAAUGCAGCAUUGACAGCAUGAAGAUGAGAAGAUGAACUGAAUCCGAGUCAGACACCCACACGAUGAGUCCAAGGGUCCAGAUGUCAGCGCAGGGUCGGAUCUCAGCACUCGUCUUCCGCUUCUCUGAUGGGGGGAAUCAAGCUGCUUGUGGAUGUAUACUGAAUGACUUGGUUGAUGGAGAGCGUAUUCACAGGCUUGAUCUGUAUGGUCCUCAGGUGGGUAUUCUGUGGCUCAUCUGUAAACCAUGUCUUUUCUGAGGAAAAAAACAAAACAUAUCAGGACGAUUAACGCUUCAUAGACGUCCACUAGUUUCAGUUUGUGUUCACACGCAACAUUAAAAUAACUUCUUGUUUUCAUUGAGUUUUUGAAAUUUGGCCUGAUAGUAAUAUGCUUUUAGAUGUAUUUUGAUGAUGUCCCAUUGUCCCAGUUCCAACUUUCAAUUUCACUCAUCUCAUAGCCAAAAACGCUUUGUAUCAUAAUGCCUUUAAAGCAUGCUUUUCUGUUGGGUCAGCAGACAUGCAGGUCACCAGUUAAAUACAAUACGUUUUCAAACUUCACCAUACCAAAAUAUGAGUUAAUACUCUUCAUUUACAUUUCAUAUUGUCAAGGGUUUUAUCUUUUUGACGGGCUUCAGGCUUUUGGCUUGAUGCAACUUCCUUUUCUUAUUGAAGGAAAUGAAUAUGGCAUAAUAUAUCGCUGGUGAUUCAUCCACUUGGCAAGUCCAUGGUCAUGCAUUUUCAUCAACAUGACUUAAG